UAACAGAUCAUUUUAAAUAAAUCUAAUCAAACCUACUUGUCAUGGCGGCUCCAGACAAAAGAUUAGCAAGUGUAGCCGAUUGUAAAUGAUCUGGACAUACAAUAUUAAAGUAAGAAGUGAAGACUUGUUGUUGAAUGACAAUUGUUCAGUGAUCUGCUGGCUCAGAUGUCUGAUUUCUGUGCUGGUUCAUGAGGGUGUGAGGAUCCUAGAGCUCAAGACGGAUGACAGACGUGUCCAUCCUAAAUGGGGUCAUCUGGCUGGGUCAAAGGUCUUCAGCUUUCUAGGGACUGUCUCUGAAAGCUGAUAUUAUGACCGACUAUGAUCACACGAUCGCGGCCACAGCACACACAGAGAGCAUAUCUGAUUACACCUCUGCAUGUCUGACAGUAUAACCAGUCAGUGGCGUUGCUCAGUCGUUGACCCUCUCAUCUCCCCUCUGUGCUGAUGAAAGUCAAAGGUUUGCUGUUGACAACUCAACUGUCAUUG